GUCUAAGGCCAUGCCACCCUUAACGUGCCCGAUCUCGUCUGAUCUUGGAAGCUAAGCAGGGUUGGGCCCGGUUAAUAUUUGUAUGGGAGACCACCUAGGAAUACCAGGUGCUGUAGGCA
rfam:Pteropus alecto contig107242, whole genome shotgun sequence.